CCUGGGGGACAUAAACUCUAAGGGAAUUUCCACGAGAAGUUAAUCCCAGCAAAACUUGGUUAAAAUCUGAGGAAUAUUAAAUGGUGAGAAAAAAAUCACUGUUACUGUUGCACAUGGUUUAAAAAAGUAUGGGUGGGACCGACAGACCAAGCUUUUGAUGUGACCAGAAAAUGUGACGAGGAUUCAACGUAACUUACGUGUACAUGAAACCAACUGACCCCUGGAGGAUGAGACAAGGUCUGGGACUGUGAGACAACAUCUGGGACUGUGAGACACAGAAACACAAGAGAAAAGGUUCUUGUAGAAAAGUAAACCAACAUAAGACAUCUGAAGGGAGGCAACUCCUCAGAUCCUGACCCAAAUGCAAUGGUGUGUACAUACAUUUGUGUAGUCACCAUGGCAAGACAGUGCUGUCUGUAUGAAUUGCCAUGGUGAUUACAUGUUUGUGCAUCACACCGUGUGACAUGGGUGGAGACAAGAUGAGACAGAAUGGAUCCUAGGUAACCAAUGCAACGUAACCAGACAAUGUCAUGUGACUAAGACCAUGAUCUGACAGGUAAGACCUGUGACUGGUGAGUGUGAUGUGUUUGUGUUCAACCACCUUUUUGAUUGGCUAGUUAUGGUCAAGUGACACCUGUCAUUCAUUUCACAAGUAUAAAUGGACCUGACUUGUAUAUUUCAACUGAGGACAUGUGACGAAAACUUGAACUUAGCAAGUAGCAAGUAUGGAGUUUUGCCAAAAAAUUUCUGGCAUAGCCUCUUUAACAAGGGAAUUAACUCUGGCUAUUCUCAUUUAAGUCAGUCUACAAACUGUUAAGAAAAACAGCAAUAUUCAGGCAGCACAUGAGGCUUGCUGUUCAAAUCAGACUGGAGUCAAGCUUCUAUUUGGAGAGAGGCUACAAUAUUUGCUGAAGUAUUGCUGACGUGACCUUAUGUCAUGAUCAUUCAUUCCAUUUGAAGGAAGACUGGAGACUCUUGAUUGGCAUAAAUGUUAAGCUCUUCAUUUCUGUAUUUCUCUUUAUAACUAUUCUUUUCUGUUCUUUUUCAAAGAUAUUACCUCUGUGGUAGUAAUCAGGGCUCUAAUAUCACAUCCUGCAUCCAUGGCUGAUAGGACUGGUGUUUGAAGCAGAACGGCACUUCCAGGUGGUACUGACCUGAAUGUGAGGCCCUUUGAGUCAUGUUGGGUUGGCAUACAGACGUGUGAAGAUGCUCUGUAUAUACCUGUACACUGGCUACAGCCUAGUCAGAAGUUCUACAGGAACUGGUGUACCGGUACUUUACCCGUGAACUGGAGGCUUACAUAGGUUGUCCAUGCUGUGGACUGAUGAGCCUAGUCUAGGCUAAUGUGUUUAUGUGUAUCAGGCAGUACCUCUGUGUGUAUCAGGCAGUACCAGAAUGUGUAUCAGGCGGGACCAAUAUGUGUACUAGGCAAUAGCAGUAUGUGUAUCAAGCAGUAACAAUAUGUGUAUCAGGCAGUACCAACAUGUCUAUCAGGCAGUAACAGUAUGUGUAUCAGGCAGUACCAGUAUGUGCAUCAGGCAGUACCAAUAUGUGUACCAAGCAGUAACAGUAUAUGUAUCAGGCAGUACAAGUAUGUGUAUCAGACAGGACGAAUAUGUGUACCAGUCAAUAGCACUUUGUACAUCAGGCAGUACCAGUAUGUGUAUCAGGCAGUACCAGUAUAUGUAUCAGGCAGUACCAAUGUGUGUAUCAGGCGGUACAAGUAUGUGUAUCAGGCAGUACCAAUAUGUGUAUCAGGCAGUACCAAUGUGUAUCAGGUAGUACCAGUUUGUGUAUCAGGCAAUAACAGUAUGUGUAUCAGGCAGAACCAGUAUAUGUAUCAGGCAGUACCAACGUGUAUCAGGCAGUACCAAUGUGUAUCAGGCAAUAACAGUAUGUGUAUCAUGCUGAACCAGUAUGUGUAUCAGGCAGUACCAGUAUAUGUAUCAGGCAGUACCAAUGUGUGUAUCAGGCAGUACAAGUAUGUGUAUUAGAUAGUACCAGUAUGUGUAUCAGGCAAUACCAAUAUGUGUAUCAGGCAGUACAAGUAUGUGUAUCAGGCAGUACCAAUAUGUGUAUCAGGCAGUACCAACGUGUAUCAGGCAGUACCAGUUUGUGUAUCAGGCAAUAACAGUAUGUGUGUCAGGCAGUACCAGUAUAUGUAUCAGGCAGUACCAGUUUGUGUAUCGGGCAAUAGCAGUGAAUUUUACUGAGAAUAUGUGACCAACUUGAAUAUCUUUGUCCCACAAAGUUGUUUUGACAGUUGUCACUGUUGAUGUCACCAUUGUAGGCUACUUAGUUUCUAAACCAAACCGCUGGGCACAAAGAAAAACUGUUGUUAAGUACGAUUUUUAUGUCCCAAGAAGGAGGCUGACAAGGCUUUUUUUGUAUUUCUGUAUGUUAGGACAUAUCCUAUUCCUGUAUGUUAGGACAUAUCCUAUUCCUGUAUGUUAGGACAUAUCCUAUUUCUGUAUGUUAGGACAUAUCCUAUUUCUGUAUGUUAGGACAUAUUCUAUUCCUGUAUGUUAGGACAUAUCCUAGUUCUGUAUGUUAGGGACAUAUCCUAGUUCUGUAUGGUAGGACAUAUCCUAUUCCUGUAUGUUAGGACAUAUCCUAUUCCUGUAUGUUAGGGCAUAUCCUAUUUCUGUAUGUCAGGACAUAUCCUAAGCUGUGUAUUAAGAAACCAUUCCUUUCAUGUAUCCUAUACAUUAGGAUUGUAUGAAAGCACUGUCUCUGGUCUGCUCUAAUCUGAUCAGAAAUUUUUUGAUUAAAAAAUAUUUUGUUUGUUCUGAACAUGGAGCCAUGUUGGCAUGAAGAUAUAGGAGGCAUACAUGUACAUGCAUUUAGCCAGGUAAGGAAUGAAGAAUAAAAGA